rnacentral:rRNA from 1 species
GUCCACGCCCUAACUAUGUCAACUAGACGUUGGUCCCUUUAAUGGGAUUAGUGUCGAAGCUAACGCGUUAAGUUGACCGCCUGGGAGUACGGCCGCAAGGUUGAACUCAAGGAAUUGACGGGCCCGCACAAGCGGUGGAGCAUGUGGUUUAAUUCGAUGCAACGCGAAGAACCUUACCAGCCCUUGACAUCCUCGGAACUUUGUAGAGAUACAUUGGUGCCUUCGGGAAUCGAGAGACAGGUGCUGCAUGGCUGUCGU